AGGCAACAAACAAGGGAAGCAGAUCAAAGACGAAUGUGAAAGGAUAAGAGUCAAAGGUAUUUGUUGCAUAUAUCAAUGUAUGGAGGAGGAGUGCCAAGAUUUUCUAAAGGAGACCAAUCAACAAACGAACUCUGAAAAGAAGUGUCACAA